AAAUUAUAUGUUACACCUCUUCUAUGAAAUCAAUAUACGUAGUCCCCCUUCUAGUCGCUAGGUGGCACCACAGCUUUAAAGCAGAGCCAAAAAACUGUGGAAUAACUUACCAUGGACGGUAUAUUCGCCAUCUAUGGUCUUAACCUCAUUCCUCUUUUUGUGCUUUGGUGGCACAUGUUCAUUUUUAUUCGGCGUCGGUGUUUUCAGCUUUUUUCAGCGUUUUUGGAAGUUAAAUGGAGAAGUACAAGUGAGAUUUACGUUAUUCCUUAUCGGAUGAAGAAAGAACCUACCUACGACGAAAGAUUAAAUCUUUCCAUCCGCGAUUACAUAAUCGCUAGUGGCGUGGUUCCCAUCAACGAGAUUUUCUUACAAUUGGGAGACGAUUUCUUCAUCGUCCGGGUUCCGAUCGGAAUCCCCAGAACUCGAAAGACCCCCCAUCUUUCCCACUUAUACGACAGCAGUCGUAUGUAAGUGUUUCACAAUUGGAAGCAAUCCUUUUGUGAGGGGGUCGGCCAUACAUAUGGUUUUAUAUUUUUUCGACAUCGAAAAAAUAGAGUUUUCUGGCUCGUCCGGUUAUGGAUGAGGCGCCCGGGAUACUGGGACAUAAUGAACAAUUUUUUAUGGCUGUUGGAAUGCAUUUACUCCAUCGUAAGUAUAUUUUUUAGGCUCUUCAAUUAAUUCUGAUGUCAUUGUUGAGCCCCUUGAGACGGAUUUAAAGCAAAAUGGCCUUUAAGCUAUGGGGUCGAUAGUCCCAACACAAAGUUUGAUGUGUCAUGACAUUUUGGCAAGUCAGAUUAAUACCUUUUUGAAAUCCGGUGUGUCCGAAGAUUGUCUCAGUGACCUUUUGCGUUGAUAUCCUGUGCCGAAGAAUUGCCGCUCAAUAACUCUCCUAAAUUGAAUGUGCAGAUGAAAUCUGCCAUCAACAAAAGUGGAAAGAAAAGGGAUGAGAGACUGACUGCAACAAGGGGUGCUUUGAUGGUGGUUGGUAGGACGCUCUUGACCUUGCUUUUGAAACCGGUUAAGGAUGAGUAGUACUUACUUCUCAUCGAAAUGUUGAGUAAUGCAAUAUUUGUUUUAAGCAAAAUACACCAUUUAGGUUCAGUAUAUAGAAGUUCAGCCGCGUUAAGCCUUUCGCUGGUCUCAAAUGAAAUGCAGCCUUGUAUGAAGGAAGUGCUCGUUGAUGCUUCUUUGCACUCUUGUUUAUAUGGAGAAGAUUUGGCUGAUAGGCUCAAAUCAAUCAGAUUAGCUGCAGAUUAGUGGCCGAGUUAAAGUCAGGUGCAUCCGGAACAAGGCUUUUAUAGCAUACAAAUUUAAACUCGACCGUCCCACUUCGUUCCCGGAAGUUGCAAGGCUGAAGUGGGUGAAAGUCAUUGUACCCUCAAAAGAGGGAAUACAGGAAGGUUCGAGAGGAAAGGGGGUGGAGUUGUGUCCCCAGGAAAAAAUAGUAAGUACUUUUGUUGAAAGAUUGCACGAGUUUCGGGACAUUUGGAACUCUAGAACUCAAGAUGCACAGAUUCUACCUUGGUUAGAUGGAUAUAAAAUUCCAUUUGCGAGGCCAGUUAUACAGGACUUGAUUACGACAGAUCCUGUUUGGUCCCAACAAGAAAAAGAUUCAAUUUGUAAUGUGGUCAAACACCUGUUAGAGAUAAGUGCAAUUGCAGUUUGCGAACCUUGUAAGAAUCAAUUUAUUUUACAGAUCUUUUUGGUUUCAAAAUUGGAUGGUUCGGUUUGAUUAGUUUUAAAUUUAAAGAAACUGAAUGCUUUUAUUGACACUUGUCAUUUUAAACUGGAAGACAGAAAAUUAGUAGAAACAUUCUUCACAAGGAAGUCCUUUAUGACCACUCUGGACUUGAAAGAAGCUUACUUUCUAGUCCCAAUAAUUGAAAAUCAAAAGAAUUUUCUAAGAUUUUAUUUUGAUGCUCUCUGUUAUCAGUUUAACGUGUUACCCUUUGGUUUAUGCACCGCCCCGUGGGCCUUUACAGAAUUAAUGAAAUCUGUGGUUUCUUAUCUCCCUGCCAAGGCUUUUCCCUCAAUAGUUUAUUUAGAUAACUUUACUAUUUGGUGAUAGUUAGCUAUCCUUAAAAAAUGUUCAAGUAACUUGCAACACACUGAUUAGGUUGGGUUAUGUUAUUAAUUAUAAGAAUGUUUUACAUCCUUCGAAAUCCCGUAAAUUUUUAGGUUUUGUUUUUUUGAAUCCCACCACUUGUUUUUUCUGAUGAGUAAGUAAGUUUUGCAAUUUGAACCGUUGCGAAAUAAGAGUCUUUGCCGAGCUUUGUGCUGUGCUAGUUUUCAGUUUGCCCAGCAGUUUGUUACAGUUGGGUAUAUACUAAGAAUUUUUGAGAGAAUCAAAUAUCUAGCCCUUCAAGACUCUGUCGAUAAUUAUGAUAUUUGGAUGAUAAUUCCUUGUAAUUUACGGAGGGAUUUUAUGUGAUGGCUAAAAAGUUUACAGAAUCCUGAAUGCCCUGUAAGGCAGCAAUGUUACAAACUUGAGAUUUUCUCAGAUGGUACUCCUUUGGGUUGGGGAAUUGUGCCAGAGAACUUUGGAGUCCUAGGGAAGCUCAGUUUCAUAUUAAUGCACUAGAAUUAACUGCGGCCUCAUUUGGUCUCUAAUGCUUCGCCUCGUAUUUGACUAACUGCGAGACACUUUUGAGGAUUGAUAACACAACUGCUAUUUUGUAUGUAAAUAGAAUAGGAUCCGGAGGCAUCUAAUGAAGACUCGUUUACUGUUUUUUGGAGCGACAGUUUCUUCUAUGUUUUCCCCCCGUUUUGCUUGUUGCCACUUGUUUUACGAAAAAUCAAGGCUGAUUGAGCUACAGGGAUCGCAGUAAUCCCUUACGGGCACAGCCAGCAUUGACAAAUUACCUUCUUCUUUUGACAGGAGAGGUCACCCUUUGUGGAAAUCCCUUACCCUGGCUGCAGGGAUUUUGUCAGGCAAGCAUUCCAGAAGAUUUGCUGGAUAUUUUUCUAUCAUCUGUUCAGAGCGCUACCUUGAGGCAUUUAAUACCUGCAUGCAUUUAAACUUUGGUGGAGCUUCUACGAAAGGAGGGGAGUGGAGUGUUAUUACUUCUCACCUAGGCUGUAUUGGAUUUCCUUACUAUUCAUUUUAGA